GACGAACGCUGGCGGCGUGCCUAAUACAUGCAAGUAGAACGCUGAAGAGAGGAGCUUACUCUUCUUGGAUGAGUUGCGAACGGGUGAGUAACGCGUAGGUAACCUGCCUUGUAGCGGGGGAUAACUAUUGGAAACGAUAGCUAAUACCGCAUAACAAUGGAUGACACAUGUCAUUUAUUUGAAAGGGGCAAUUGCUCCACUACAAGAUGGACCUGCGUUGUAUUAGCUAGUAGGUGAGGUAAUGGCUCACCUAGGCGACGGUACAUAGCCGACCUGAGAGGGUGAUCGGCCACACUGGGACUGAGACACGGCCCAGACUCCUACGGGAGGCAGCAGUAGGGAAUCUUCGGCAAUGGGGGCAACCCUGACCGAGCAACGCCGCGUGAGUGAAGAAGGUUUUCGGAUCGUAAAGCUCUGUUGUAAGUCAAGAACGGGUGUGAGAGUGGAAAGUUCACACUGUGACGGUAGCUUACCAGAAAGGGACGGCUAACUACGUG
rnacentral:rRNA from 1 species